rnacentral:rRNA from 1 species
AUACGGAGGGACCAAGCGUUGUUCGGAAUCAUUGGGCGUAAAGCGCGUGUAGGCGGCUUGGCAAGUCGGGUGUGAAAGCCCGGGGCUCAACCCCGGAAUUGCAUUCGAAACUUCCAGGCUAGAGUCUCGGAGAGGAGGGCGGAAUUCCCGGUGUAGAGGUGAAAUUCGUAGAUAUCGGGAGGAACACCAGUGGCGAAGGCGGCCCUCUGGACGAUGACUGACGCUGAGACGCGAAAGCGUGGGGAGCAAACAGGAUUAGAAACCCCGGUAGUCC